rnacentral:rRNA from 1 species
UACGUAGGGUGCAGGCGUUAAUCGGAAUUACUGGGCGUAAAGCGUGCGCAGACGGUUUGCUAAGACAGGUGUGAAAUCCCCGGGCUUAACCUGGGAACUGCGCUUGUAACUGGCAAGCUAGAGUGUGGCAGAGGGGGGUGGAAUUCCACGUGUAGCAGUGAAAUGCGUAGAUAUCAGGAGGAAUACCGAUGGCGAAGGCAGGUCUCUGGGCUGACACUGACGCUCAUGCACGAAAGCGUGGGGAGCAAACAGG